UACGUAGGUGGCAAGCGUUGUCCGGAUUUACUGGGCGUAAAGGGAGCGUAGACGGCACUGCAAGUCUGGAGUGAAAGCCCGGGGCUCAACCCCGGGACUGCAUUGGAAACUGUGUGGCUUGAGUGUCGGAGAGGUAAGUGGAAUUCCUAGUGUAGCGGUGAAAUGCGUAGAUAUUAGGAGGAACACCAGUGGCGAAGGCGGCUUACUGGACUGUAACUGACGUUGAGGCUCGAAAGCGUGGGGAGCAAAC
rnacentral:rRNA from 1 species